CUGCAGUGAUGAUUUUAUAUGUCUGACCUGGAAUUGCUGGUCUCUGGGUCAGCUCUGGCCAGGAAAUGACUUCAGUUAAUCUUCUCUCUGAGCAG